GGAUGGGAGCGGGGCUGACCGCCACACCGGGGGGACAUGGGGGGAGGCGGCGGGUGUGCGAGCUGCGGCCGAGGCUCUGCCCUCCCCUCUGACCGCUGUGUGAGGGGGCACGGCCGGGCGGCAGGCGCUUUUUUUCUCUGUUUUUUCGAGGUUUGUUUUGUUUUGUUUUGUGUUUUGUGUGGGUUUUUUUUUUUGGCUGGGGUUGGGGGUGUUGUUUUUGCCCCCCUCUCGUUUCCUGGGAGUCGUGUCGCUGCCUCCACACUCUCGCAGCAGCUGCCAAAGGCCGACAGGUCCCUCAGGUACCCGCCCGGCGGAGCCCCCCGAGCCGAGCAGCUGUCUCUCUUAAAACGCCUAUAAAACUGGAUCCCUGCGUUAUGGCUGCGGUGAGAUGACAGAACACCUCCGUGCUUUUGAGAAGCUCCAUCUCGUUCUGCUGAAGGACUGCAGCUCCAGACUCAGAUCAAUGUGCUUUCAAGUUGGCUUUACAGGUCUGAUGGGGACCGUUCCAGUGUCCCUUGGAACUGGAUUUGGAUUUUUCCCCUGUGCUCUGCAGAGGCCAGGCAGAAAUGAAGACAGCAGUUAUGGUCAAGCAGAUAAAGAUCUGAAAAUGGCAGAUUCUUGCUGGAAAUUCAGAUGGCUCAACCUCCUGGGGAUCGUAACUGCAAGGAAGCCCUGAACACAAGCUAGGAGACAUGCCAAGUACCUUGGAGAAUCUAGGCUCUUUGCCAAAAAGAAUGAGUUUGAAAACCUGAGGCCACUUAGGGCUACUAGGCGCCCUGCCACGAAGCUGAGAUCUGAGCAGUUCUGAAAGGUGUGGCACAAAUUCUGGAAGAGUUGGAGCCCUCACUUCCUUCAGGGCUAAUGGAAAGCUGGUAGCCAAAAAGCCCUGGAGCCCUGGCUCUCCCAUGAGUUGCACACUUAGUUUAGUUUCUACAUUUUCAAAACAAAACUAAUUAUUAUGAGCUUACAGUGUUGCUGCUUUUUUUUCCCUCUUUCUUCUCAGACCUUGGCUUUCACGAGACAUUCAGAAAACAGAUUUCCAUUCUAUGAUAAAGUUCAUUCUGUUUUCUCAGAAAUUGCUUUUCUCAAAUUCCAAUAGAGAAAACCUAAUUUUCAAUCAGCUUCACUUGUGAUGUAUUCUAAAGCUAGUCAGGAAACCCCAUUAUAAUUAACAUGGGCAAUUAGUAAACACAAUUACAUACAGCAUUGAAUUGCCUCACAGACCCUGCAGCCUAACAUGCCAGUAGAUCUCUUUCACCUCUGGAAAACGAAACAGAUGUUUCUCAAUAGAAGCUUCAGCCUGCUUGCAAUAAUGGAUGUUCCAAGGCUUAGCACACAAGAUCUUUGUUAUUUUUUUGAACUCUCUCAGAAGCAGCAGUCAUGGGAAACGAACAGAAGUUAAGUGGUUUACCCUCUGCCACAAACAAGUCAGUGGUAGACCUGAGGUUAGAUAGCAAUGGUAAUUCUUCAUCUUAUUAAACAACAAAGUAAACUUUCUAGGCUGAUCAGUUGGCUGAGGAGUAGCAAGAUCUGAUUUUGCAGCAUGAAAAUUCCCCUGGAAUUCCUCCAGUGUCCUCCAACAUACAAAUGAUCUCAACUUUAAUCUUACUCUGUAAUUAUCCACGGCUAAUAUUUCAUCAACACAGACUCCUUAAACACAUGUAAUUUCUAAAGUAAGGAUAUUCCAACUAAUUCUUGGCUCAUUUUUAAUUUGAACCACAAAAGGAGAGUGAGUAGCAAACAGCACUAAGGAGAUGUUGAAAGUCCACAGCAGAUUGAUCUGAACUUUGUAGUUUCUCUGUGUAAUUGUUUGAUCUUGACAGUAUGGGAUUAAACAUCUCCAGUGCAUUUCUUAAGAAGCAGGCAUGCCUUGCUGUAGACCUUUGACAUAACUCCAUGCUAUUAGCAUAUAACCUCAGUGCAUGCUACUGUAAAGCCCUAAGUUUUUAACUUUAUUUACCAUGUGUCCUCUCAAUCACAGCCUCAAAAAUGUUCCUGUAACAAUAGAAUCAUGAAUUAUCCAGAAAAAGCAAAAAUGGAAGAAAAAAAUCACAAGACUACCAUUAUACAGGCAAUACAGUUUUAUUAUGUUCUUUCACCAAUUGUAGCAAAAAUGUUUAACAACUGAAUGAAUAAUCAAGGGAACUCAACUGUCAACAGGAAUUUCAGAAUUAUGUUCUAAAUUUUAGACCAGGAAGCCCUGACAGGGAGGAAAAAAAAA